GGCUGGUCCGAUGGUAGUGGGUUAUCAGAACUUAUUAACAUUAAUGUCACUAAAGUUGGUAUUCAACCCCCCACUGCUAAAUUUGACUGGCUUUAA
rnacentral:Y_RNA from 1 species